GACGAACGCUGGCGGCGUGCUUAACACAUGCAAGUCGAACGGAAAGGCCCUGCUUUUGUGGGGUGCUCGAGUGGCGAACGGGUGAGUAACACGUGAGUAACCUGCCCUUGACUUUGGGAUAACUUCAGGAAACUGGGGCUAAUACCGGAUAGGAGCUCCUGCUGCAUGGUGGGGGUUGGAAAGUUUCGGCGGUUGGGGAUGGACUCGCGGCUUAUCAGCUUGUUGGUGGGGUAGUGGCUUACCAAGGCUUUGACGGGUAGCCGGCCUGAGAGGGUGACCGGCCACAUUGGGACUGAACUACGGCCCAGCCUCCUACGGGAGGCAGCAGUGGGGAAUAUUGCAGAAGGGGCGGAAGCCUGAUGCAGCAACGCCGCGGGGGGGAGGGCGGCCUUCGGGUUGUAAACCGCUUUCGCCUGUGACGAAGGGUGAGGGAGGGUAAUGGGUAAAGAAGCACCGGCAAACUACGUG
rnacentral:rRNA from 1 species